UUCUGCAAGAAGUUACAAAAUCUAUGUCAGUAAGAAUAAUGGAAAUUAAUAAUGACAUGAGAGUAAUAAAAAAAACAGAUUAGAGUCAGUAAAAAAAGAAAAAUACAAAUUGCAGUUAAGAGAUUCAAAAGUACAGAGCAAUAAUUGGGUACAACAACUGUGUUUGAAAGUUUACAAAAAACAACAACUGUGUUUGAAAAGGACUAAGUACCAACCAAAAAUGACUUAUGGUUAAAAGUGAAAUGUGAGAUUUCCCAAGAAAAGCAGAACGAAAGAAAGGGAGAAGACAAGCACGGCUGGUUCUGAGCAUAGACCAUAGACCAGUGAAAAUUAGCCUAUAACUCCCAAAAUUUGUGUCAAAAUUUAUGUCAGUGAAGCAUUAAUGAGUUCUCAGCAUUAAUCUAUAGUUUCUAAAAAUUGAUGAAAAUUACAAACAUAAAUCUCCAAAUUUGUAAGAAUUUUUUUUUAUUAUAUCAAAAUGUCAAGACCAUAUAAGAUUGGUUUUCAGAAUAGUAUAAAGUAAAACUCAAUAACUUGUAUCAAAACCUUGAAAGUCAACCUCUUUUUAUAAAUGAUGAGAACAAUAUCUCAGAAUUUCUAAUAUAGAUGAAAGAUCCCAAACGUAAUAACAAGAUCUAAGGUAAUAUUUUGUUUAUAAAGAAAAUUAAAGAAAAAAAGGAACACCAUGGAGUCAACAAGAUUCUGAUAUCUAUAUAUCAAAAAGUUUCUAACUCACAACACAUAAAGAAUAUAAGAUAAUCAGUUCAAUCAUUAGGAAACCAUACUACUAUAAAAGUUAUCAGAGUUUUUUUUUUUGAACUGAUAAAAGUUAUCAGCUUGAUGGUGAAAGAACAUAACUCAAUUUCAGACACAACAGAAGAGCAUAAGAUAUUAAGACAAUUACAGAAACAUUUAAAGUAAUAAAUUCAGGAAAGAAACCAUGCAUUCUGAUU